rnacentral:rRNA from 1 species
GCAACGCGAAGAACCUUACCUGGUCUUGACAUCCCGGAGACCCUUAGGAAACUAGGGGUGCUUCCAUCUGGAAGAAUCUGGAGGACAGGUGCUGCAUGGCUGUCGUCAGCUCGUGUCGUGAGAUGUUGGGUUAAGUCCCGCAACGAGCGCAACCCUUGCCUUUAGUUGCCAGCAGUUCGGCUGGGCACUCUAAAGGGACUGCCGGUGUUAAACCGGAGGAAGGUGGGGAUGACGUCAAGUCCUCAUGGCCUUUAUGACCAGGGCUACACACGUACUACAAUGGCCGAUACAAAGGGCAGCGACACUGCGAGGUGAAGCCAAUCCCGUAAAAUCGGUCUCAGUCCGGAUUGGAGUCUGCAACUCGACUCCAUGAAGUUGGAAUCGCUAGUAAUCGUGGAUCAGCAUGCCACGGUGAAUACGUUCCCGGGCCUU